GCCUCGGUGGUCUAAAGGCUUAAGAAGUUCGCACGGAAUGCUAAAAAUCCGGGUUCGACUCCCGGCCAAGGUA
rnacentral:tRNA from 1 species